rnacentral:rRNA from 1 species
AUACAUGCAAGUCGAACGCUUUGUGGUUCAACUGAUUUGAAGAGCUUGCUCAGAUAUGACGAUGGACAUUGCAAAGAGUGGCGAACGGGUGAGUAACACGUGGGAAACCUACCUCUUAGCAGGGGAUAACAUUUGGAAACAGAUGCUAAUACCGUAUAACAAUGACAACCGCAUGGUUGUUAUUUAAAAGAUGGUUCUGCUAUCACUAAGAGAUGGUCCCGCGGUGCAUUAGCUAGUUGGUAAGGUAAUGGCUUACCAAGGCGAUGAUGCAUAGCCGAGUUGAGAGACUGAUCGGCCACAAUGGGACUGAGACACGGCCCAUACUCCUACGGGAGGCAGCAGUAGGGAAUCUUCCACAAUGGGCGAAAGCCUGAUGGAGCAACGCCGCGUGUGUGAUGAAGGGUUUCGGCUCGUAAAACACUGUUGUAAGAGAAGAAUGACAUUGAGAGUAACUGUUCAAUGUGUGACGGUAUCUUACCAGAAAGGAACGGCUAAAUACGUGCCAGCAGCCGCGGUAAUACGUAUGUUCCAAGCGUUAUCCGGAUUUAUUGGGCGUAAAGCGAGCGCAGACGGUUAUUUAAGUCUGAAGUGAAAGCCCUCAGCUCAACUGAGGAAUUGCUUUGGAAACUGGAUGACUUGAGUGCAGUAGAGGAAAGUGGAACUCCAUGUGUAGCGGUGAAAUGCGUAGAUAUAUGGAAGAACACCAGUGGCGAAGGCGGCUUUCUGGACUGUAACUGACGUUGAGGCUCGAAAGUGUGGGUAGCAAACAGGAUUAGAUACCCUGGUAGUCCACACCGUAAACGAUGAGUGCUAGGUGUUUGAGGGUUUCCGCCCUUAAGUGCCGCAGCUAACGCAUUAAGCACUCCGCCUGGGGAGUACGACCGCAAGGUUGAAACUCAAAGGAAUUGACGGGGACCCGCACAAGCGGUGGAGCAUGUGGUUUAAUUCGAAGCAACGCGAAGAACCUUACCAGGUCUUGACAUCCCUUGACAACUCCAGAGAUGGAGCGUUCCCUUCGGGGACAAGGUGACAGGUGGUGCAUGGUUGUCGUCAGCUCGUGUCGUGAGAUGUUGGGUUAAGUCCCGCAACGAGCGCAACCCUUAUUACUAGUUGCCAGCAUUCAGUUGGGCACUCUAGUGAGACUGCCGGUGACAAACCGGAGGAAGGUGGGGAUGACGUCAAAUCAUCAUGCCCCUUAUGACCUGGGCUACACACGUGCUACAAUGGCGUAUACAACGAGUUGCCAACCCGCGAGGGUGAGCUAAUCUCUUAAAGUACGUCUCAGUUCGGAUUGUAGGCUGCAACUCGCCUACAUGAAGUCGGAAUCGCUAGUAAUCGCGGAUCAGCACGCCGCGGUGAAUACGUUCCCGGGUCUUGUACACACCGCCCGUCACACCAUGAGAGUUUGUAACACCCAAAGCCGGUGGGGUAACCUUCGGGAGCCAGCCGUCUAAGGUGGGACAGAUGAUUAGGGUGAAGUC